AUUCAGCUGACGAGUCCCGAAUAGGACGAAAUGCGCGUCCUGGAC
rnacentral:hammerhead_ribozyme from 1 species